CACAUGAUGAGGAGAGACACGCCUCCUGAGGGAUCCAUGAGGCAGGAACCGAUGCCGGGAAGAUCCGAGAUAUGGAACCGUGUGCAGAGAGAAUCUAGACCGGUUCCCAGGAUGAACAGCAGCACCAGCCC